AUUAAAUUAAGCAGGGAUAGAAACAUAUAAAAACUAUAUUGCAACUAAAAGAAACUUAAAUUUAUAUUAAUAAACAAAGUCCAUACUAUUGUAAUACAUUUGAGACUAGUAGUUUGUUAUUAAUUUAAAUGGCAACUCAAUAAGAUAACUAUAUCAAUCUAUCCCUAGCCUGAGUGCUAUUAAGUGGAGACACUGAGCAAUGUAUCCACACAAAUUACCUUGAGACAAAUGCUGAAAUAUUUCAGGUAGUGCAAUAAGAAUCAGUCCAUGAAGGAUUGUGUCAUAUGAACCAUUAGGUAUAUAUGGGCAUCAUCAUAGAAGGUCCCCUUAGAGAACACAGAGAUGCUACCUGGAUGGCUGAGAGAAUGAUGUUCCAUGUAAGCAAUAUAUUACCUGGAUCACUUGGGUUGAUAGUACAGACUAAACAGAGAUUUAAGAAAAAAUAGAUUGGUAAUGGAGCUGAGACUGGCACAGAGAUUUCAAGGUUUUGUUGAGUCUUUACUUGGGGCCAUAUAGUUAUACAAUUGGAAAACAUUUGACAGAUAUAAUUGACUAACUUUAAUGCAAAGAAUGUCUGCAAAGUUAAAAUGCAAUGUUGGUGAUGCAAUAGAAAGGACAAGAAAAGAAGAGGUUAAACUGUGUUACUAGAAAGAAAGGUGGCAAUAUUUGAGUGGGGCUUUAGUCCCUGUGGGACAAAAUAUUGAAAGAAAAGGAAAUUUUGUGUUAAUGAUAUUGUGAUAAUUUUUAAGGUCUGUCACGAUGCUCAUAGAGGACGUCAAUAAUGCUGUAGGAUAGAUGAAGGCAGCUGAUUCAUUGUAGGCAUCAUUCAUUGUCAAAUAUUCAUUGCUAUUUGUUCACUAUGCUGUCCAUUUAUAAGAUAAAUUGCCUAUUCCAUUAUAUGAAACAAACAGGAGACCAAAAGCUAAAGUUUCGUAUAAGCAGCACUUGUAUGGAAAAAGGUAGAUUUUCUCAAGGAGAGGCCUAAAAUCAUCCAUAGUGUGGCAUGGGUGUCUUUAAUGUAGUAAAAGUAGUAAUACGUACAUGUGUCUUCCAGAUAGACAGAUUUAUUGCAUAGGUGUAGGUAUUUUAAAAGACUCGUGUUAGAAAAAUGAAACUGUAUAAAAUAGACUUAAUUUACGCUGAGGAUAAUAAGCCUGAUGUGGAAACAUGUUAAAGAUACAAGGACAACAGGAACCAGACCUUUAAAUUCUGUCAUUGGUGGAGGAAAAAAUAGUUGCAUUAAAUUGAUAUAGGUCAUGGAAGUGGUCUUACUCAGGGAAAAUAAAAUGUUGGAUUUUGCACAUACAACCCAGUCAAUACAUUCUGAUUUCAUUUCUAUAAACUACUUACAUGUGGAAGUAACAAAUGGUGAAAAUACAUCAGAACCAGCCAUGCUCUAGAAUACGUGGCCUGUAUUUUAAUUAAUUUAUCAUUAGUUGUUCAUGGUCUGACCCUUUCUCAAUCAG
rnacentral:lncRNA from 1 species